UACGGAGGGGACUAGCGUUGUUCGGAAUUACUGGGCGUAAAGCGCACGUAGGCGGAUCUGUAAGUCAGGGGUGAAAUCCUGGAGCUCAACUCCAGAACUGCCUUCGAUACUGGGAGUCUCGAGUCCGGGAGAGGUGAGUGGAACUGCGAGUGUAGAGGUGAAAUUCGUAGAUAUUCGCAAGAACACCAGUGGCGAAGGCGGCGACCUGGUCCGAUACUGACGCUGAGGCGCGAAAGCGUGGGGAGCAAACAGG
rnacentral:rRNA from 1 species